AUGCAAGUCGAGCGGGGGGAGAUUGCUUCGGUAAUUGACCUAGCGGCGGACGGGUGAGUAAUACUUAGGAAUCUGCCUAUUAAUGGGGGACAACAUCUCGAAAGGGAUGCUAAUACCGCAUACGCCCUACGGGGGAAAGCAGGGGAUCACUUGUGACCUUGCGUUAAUAGAUGAGCCUAAGUCGGAUUAGCUAGUUGGUGGGGUAAAGGCCUACCAAGGCGACGAUCUGUAGCGGGUCUGAGAGGAUGAUCCGCCACACUGGGACUGAGACACGGCCCAGACUCCUACGGGAGGCAGCAGUGGGGAAUAUUGGACAAUGGGGGGAACCCUGAUCCAGCCAUGCCGCGUGUGUGAAGAAGGCCUUAUGGUUGUAAAGCACUUUAAGCGAGGAGGAGGCUCUUUUGGUUAAUACCCAAGAUGAGUGGACGUUACUCGCAGAAUAAGCACCGGCUAACUCUGUGCCAGCAGCCGCGGUAAUACAGAGGGUGCGAGCGUUAAUCGGAUUUACUGGGCGUAAAGCGUGCGUAGGCGGCUUUUUAAGUCGGAUGUGAAAUCCCCGAGCUUAACUUGGGAAUUGCAUUCGAUACUGGGAAGCUAGAGUAUGGGAGAGGAUGGUAGAAUUCCAGGUGUAGCGGUGAAAUGCGUAGAGAUCUGGAGGAAUACCGAUGGCGAAGGCAGCCAUCUGGCCUAAUACUGACGCUGAGGUACGAAAGCAUGGGGAGCAAACAGGAUUAGAUACCCUGGUAGUCCAUGCCGUAAACGAUGUCUACUAGCCGUUGGGGUCUUUGAGACUUUAGUGGCGCAGCUAACGCGAUAAGUAGACCGCCUGGGGAGUACGGUCGCAAGACUAAAACUCAAAUGAAUUGACGGGGGCCCGCACAAGCGGUGGAGCAUGUGGUUUAAUUCGAUGCAACGCGAAGAACCUUACCUGGUCUUGACAUAGUAAGAACUUUCCAGAGAUGGAUUGGUGCCUUCGGGAACUUACAUACAGGUGCUGCAUGGCUGUCGUCAGCUCGUGUCGUGAGAUGUUGGGUUAAGUCCCGCAACGAGCGCAACCCUUUUCCUUACUUGCCAGCAUUUCGGAUGGGAACUUUAAGGAUACUGCCAGUGACAAACUGGAGGAAGGCGGGGACGACGUCAAGUCAUCAUGGCCCUUACGACCAGGGCUACACACGUGCUACAAUGGUCGGUACAAAGGGUUGCUACCUAGCGAUAGGAUGCUAAUCUCAAAAAGCCGAUCGUAGU
rnacentral:rRNA from 1 species